UACGGGAGGCAGCAGUGGGGAAUAUUGCACAAUGGGCGCAAGCCUGAUGCAGCCAUGCCGCGUGUAUGAAGAAGGCCUUCGGGUUGUAAAGUACUUUCAGUCGUGAGGAAGGUGUUAAGGUUAAUAACCUUAGCAAUUGACGUUAGCGACAGAAGAAGCACCGGCUAACUCCGUGCCAGCAGCCGCGGUAAUACGGAGGGUGCGAGCGUUAAUCGGAAUUACUGGGCGUAAAGGGCACGCAGGCGGUUAAUUAAGUUGGAUGUGAAAUCCCCGGGCUUAACCUGGGAAUGGCAUUCAAGACUGGUUAGCUAGAGUCUUGUAGAGGGGGUUAGAAUUCUAUGUGUAGCGGUGAAAUGCGUAGAGAUGUGGAGGAAUACCGGUGGCGAAGGCGGCCCCUGGACAAAGACUGACGCUCAUGUGCGAAAGCGUGGGGAGCAAAC
rnacentral:rRNA from 1 species